rnacentral:rRNA from 1 species
UCGAGAAUCUUCCGCAAUGGGCGAAAGCCUGACGGAGCGACGCCGCGUGUAGGAUGAAGGCCCUCGGGUUGUAAACUACUGUCACGGGUUAUGAAUGUGCAUAUGUUAACAGCGUGUGUAUUGACGUAAGCCCGAAAGGAAGCACCGGCUAACUCUGUGCCAGCAGCCGCGGUAAUACAGAGGGUGCAAACGUUGUUCGGAAUUACUGGGCAUAAAGCGCGCGUAGGCGGCGACGUAAGUGUAGGGUGAAAUCCCACGGCUCACCCGUGUGAAUUGCCCCGCAUACUGCGUUGCUUGAGUGUGGUAGGGGAGAGCGGAACUCCUGGUGGAGCGGUGAAAUGCGUAGAUAUCAGGAGGAACACCGGUGGCGUAGGCGGCUCUCUGGUCCAUAACUGACGCUGAAGUGCGAAAGCUAGGGUAGCGAACGGGAUUAGAUACCCUAGUAGUCCCUGAGCGGGCUGGCAAGGCGCAU